GUGAGGAAUAUUGCGCAAUGGAGGCAACUCUGACGCAGCCAUGCCGCGUGCAGGAAGAAGGCGCUACGCGUUGUAAACUGCUUUUAACCGGGAAGAAACCCCAGGACGUGUCCUGGGUUGACGGUACCGGAGGAAUAAGCACCGGCUAACUUCGUGCCAGCAGCCGCGGUAAUACGAAGGGUGCAAGCGUUAUCCGGAUUCAUUGGGUUUAAAGGGUGCGUAGGCGGAGCGUUAAGUCAGUGGUGAAAUCCUGCAGCUUAACUGUAGACUUGCCAUUGAUACUGGCGCUCUUGAGUGCGCUUGAAGUGGGCGGAAUGUGCCGUGUAGCGGUGAAAUGCUUAGAUAUGGCACAGAACACCAAUUGCGAAGGCAGCUAACUAAGGCGAUACUGACGCUGAGGCACGAAAGCGUGGGGAUCGAACAGGAUUAGAAACCCCGGUAGUCC
rnacentral:rRNA from 1 species